UUGUGAAAUCUGACACAACUGAUGAGGAGGCUAAGAAGAAGAAGGCUAGGUUGACUAGGUUUGCGCCACCAGGGAAGGCUGAUCCAGUGGAGGAAGAUAAAAGGAAAGCUAGGGCUCUCAGGUUGUAAAAAGUUAAAAUUGUUCAUUUUCUCUUAUUACACCUUGGAAUCUGCACAAUAUUUUCCAUCCAUAUAUCAGUAAGAAUCUAUGGAUAAAUGAGUGUUUGUCAGAUUUAUGACUUAAAUCUGAUAGUCAUGUACUAUUUUUUUUAUAAUAGGUUUUCACAACCCCAGCCUGGUUCACAACCCCAGCCUGGUUCACAACCACAAGCAAAUGGCAAAGGAAAUAUUGAGCAGGUUUGUUUUUGUUUUAUAAGCAGUGCACAAGGUUUGGCCCAAAGAAAAAGAGAAGUGACAUCAUUAUGCAUUUGAAUGUUAUUUACUUUAAUUAUUCGCUUGGUAUUCAUGAUCUGAGAGGCAGAUCUUGUGUCACCUCCUCAUCUAAUAGUUUAAGCUAUUAAAGAGGAAAACUUUUAUUUAUUUUGGUCUUCAACACUUCGCACGAUUGCUUAGGCCUCCUGAGAUUGAAUGGCUAAUCCUGUAUAAGUCUCUCAAUCUGUCAAUGAGUUCUCUUUAUUCUGUUGUAUAUUUUCUACAGCUCAAGAAAAGGAUUAUAUAAGGAAAGAGGUGCACCAACUCACAAAAAUGCAGUGUGCAGUCGGGUGGGGGGUCUCAGACAGAAAAGAAUAGGAAUAGAAGUUUGACCUUGCUUCUCUCUCUUGGAUUGCCAUGCUAAAAUAGAAAAGAAGAGGAACACUAUUCUAGCUUCUCUUCCAUAACUUUCACUAGGCAAGAGGUCAAAAAUAAAAGGAAGAUUCAACAAACAAAAGAAGCAUCUAAAGGAUCUUCUUUUUUUGAUUCUUCAUUCUUUAAACUCAUAACGGUGGCUGAUUUUAUAGUAUUUACCUUCAACUCCUUAUAAUUUCUUCUUCUGCCCCUUUUCAUUUUUAAAAUCAUUCCCUUCAUCUUUGGAUACAAUCCUAAGUGGGUUCACCUUUUCUGGGGUUUGGUAAACCCUGGGUCCAUACAAGCACACUUGUAUUGAAACCCAUAUUUGUGAACAUGGGUCUUCUAGUUUAACUUUAAAAAUCCACUGCUGAAUGAGUAGUAGUAAAAUACCUCACACAGGUUUCCACAAAAUCAUUCUCAGUUUCCUUACUCUGUUAGUUGCUGUUCGUCUCUGAUUUCGGAGUAUGGUAAGCUGUUUGAGCUCAAGAUUCUUGGGAAUUACAACAAUGUCUAGUCCUGUAGCCAACACUAUUUGUCAUCUUUGUUGUGUUGGAUGGGAAGUUCUUAUGUAUCCUGUUUGUGGUUGUGUAGUGUGUCAUAUAUAGGUUGGUCAUUUUUAAAGGACGAAACAUCAAGAUCAAUUGUGAAGUUGGUACUUAUUUUAAAUGACUGUGGUCAAUGAAGUGGGUUGAGAACCCUGACCUACUUCCGUCCAAGCCUUUUUAGACAAAGUUACUUGGUAUGUAUGCUUGUGGGAGGUAGCAUGUAUCCCAUGGAAUUAGUCAAAGUGUACUCUAGUGGUCUGGACACCAUAGUUAUAAAAAAAACUAUUACGUUAGUGUAGUGACUGACAUUUAGUGAAUGGUUUUUUCUUUUGGGCUCAGUAAUUGUUUUUAUACUUCCAUAGAUAUUAAACAUUUGUUGUUUGUUUGUUGAGUGGUUAUCACCGUCAGGAUUCUGUACUCACUGUUUUCAAAUUCUGGAUCCCUCUUUGUUUGGUUCUUUCUUUCUUUCUUCCUCUACAAGCAACAAUGCCUCACCCCCAAACAAUUUGGGAUCAGCUAUAUGAACUCCAACUGUCCAUGUUUCUUCUUUUGAGCACAACUCAUGUCAUCAUCAUACCAAAUAAAAAUAUAAGUGAAAGAUAAGUAAAAUAUAUAUAUAUAUAUUAAAAAUAACAACAACAACGAUUCUCUAUAUUUUUACUGGCAUAUAGAUCUAUGAUAAGGUCAAGUACAUCUACAAAAGCAAUAGGUUCACAAUUAACGUUCUAACAAAGACAAAAAACUUAUUUCCAACUAGUGUAUAUCAUCUGUAGGGAUCUUUCUCUAAUUUCUUUAUGUAGUGUAAUAGCUUUUUCCUAAUCUAUGGAUAUAUUUAAUUCAGGAAGCUGUUGCUGUGGACAAGGCUGGAGAACCUGAAUGAUUCCAAACUUCAUAACGAGUAAGACUUGCUUGAUUGUAUAGUUUACUGUUGUUGGGUUGUGGUUAGGGGCCUUGUUAACUGCAGAAUUGGAGUUCCUCAUCUUUUAACCACUUCUUUCCAAUUCUUGCAGGUUGGUGGGCUUGGAUCCUAAAGUUUUUGACCUUUCCGUAGUUUAUAUAAAUUUUGGCUUUCGAAUUACUGCACAAAAGGCUUUUCGGGUCUUCCUAAAAUAGCAUACUAUGUGUUUCUGGAGAGCACUAGGAUAAUUGACAACCACCUCCUUGGCAUCAAACUACCGGAAAUGACCCAUGAUCAAUAUUAAAAAUGAUGAAACUACAACCAAAGUAUCCUUCUUGAAGGGUUUGAUUUGACGACUUCAUCAUCAAUCUCUAAGUUAUUAAUCUGCAUUAUAUGUCACGUUUAUAUUGUAAUGCAUUGUCCUUUAACAUAGUAAAAACAUAGACUCCUGUUGCAUGUCAAGGAUCAACCAGUGCUAGAUUUUUAGUUUUGAUUUACCCAAGUGGUUCAGAGUAGAUUGGAGAUUGCUUGAUGUUAAAACUUAAUGUUCCCCAUGGUUAGAGGUUUUCAUUGAUUUGGCUGUUUAAUUCAACCUUAUUGACUCUAAUAGCUGAAGUGGGAAGUGUAGUGCAUCUUGUGUUUUCUAGCAUCUAAGUAUUUAUCUUGCUCUUAAAGAUCCAAGAAAUCUGUACUUCUCUUUGAUGCAUCAUAUGGUUUGGCCAUGCUAUAUUCAAUAUUCUUGUUGGGUUCUCCAUAGUUAGAAAGGUAAGACUAGUUAUAUGUGUUGCGAUAUAUAUUUACUACUUGCUAGUGCAUCUCAUGGUUGUGAAACUUGUUUGCACACUGCUGGAGUUAUAUGAUGGUCAAGUCGUCAAAUCCACAUUCCUUCAAACUGGUUCUUUUUUGGGUUUGCUGUUUUUCUUAUGAAAGGUUCAAUGGUUUAAGAGCUUUCGAAGUUUUCUUAAAAUUUUGAUGUGGGUCAUUUCGGACAGAUUGACACUAAGGAGGUGUUGUUCAACUACCUAGUAUCUCCAGGUAAAUCUUGUAGGCUGCAGUCGAUGGCCAUGUAGAAGUAGGUUUAAUGUAUUACGAAGACAUCUAGUUAUGUGUUUAUUCUUCUUGUUAUGUUA
rnacentral:lncRNA from 1 species